rnacentral:lncRNA from 1 species
UAAUGCUUGAAAAGCGAGCAAACAGGGGGAACUGUCUCGUCUCAAAGCUGUGACUAGGGUUAAGACUGAAUAAGAGAGUCACAUGGCCGAUCUUUAGCGUGGCCGGCCUGGUGGCUCCGUGGGCUAACCCAUCGGGCACUUUCUAAAGUCCAGACAAUUGGAUCGACUCCCAGAGACGCUGGGGAGUUAAAGACGAGCCCCGAGCCUCCCCGUCAGUCUGAGAUCUAAGCCCCGGGUGUAGCUCUCGUGCUGUCGGGGUGAGUUUGUGUAGGUGGCUGUUCUCUACCACGCCGGCCGUUUUGGGGGGUUCCAUUUUCGGGGCCCUCCAAAACAAGGAAAAUGGGGGGUUUAAGUCCUUUAUGAAUGAAUAGUAAUGAACGGAAUUCUAAAAAGCAGCCCCUUAUACCACUGAGACACCUGCAGGACGGGUGUGGCACUAGCAGUGAAAGAGAGGUGCAGUCCUAACUAGGAGCGGCAGGGGUCCCUAUCCAGCACAUUCCUCUUGAUUCGGUCAGCUGGCCGCAAGCUAGAAGUUCCCGUCGAGCACAGCCUCGUAGGGGAGUGUUACUGUUUUAGGUUUUCUGAAAAUCCUUUAGCCGACAAAUGCUUUAUGUAUGAUCUGGUGAGCUGAAGCUUCUAUGUAUCUCCAGUAACGUCAGUGUUGAAGCCCUUGUAACAGAAUCCGCAGCUGUCCGUCAGGACCGGAGCCCGCCUCCAGAGUGACCUUCCUCAGCGGACACGCCCCGUCCACCUGUUCCACAGGUGCGCUCGGCAAGAUGGCGGCGGGACGAGCUGGGGCGGCUCGAGGACGCCGAAAUGAGUGUCCUGUCCGUUGGAGCGUGCUCUCGAAGUUUGAAAAGUUUGUAUAAAGGUGCCAAAAGGAUUUCAAGAACGGGAUACCAGUAAUUAAAAAUGUGUUUUUUUUUAAAGGUAAGUUAUAUUCCCACCUUCCGCUUUACUAUUAAUAUUUGUGUAACCCGUUAAGACAACACGUUUUGCCUGCUUUUUCACACAUUUUUACCCGGAACAGGCAUAUAUUAACUACAUUGCUGCUUUUCGUUUCGUUGUGCUUUUGUUGAACGGAAAAAGCAAACUCUUAAGACGCUGGUUCUUCAACGGAAUUGAAUUCUUAUGUGGCUGAACGUAUGUUCUGGAGUUUUUUGGAGUAGCGGGACAGGGAUCUAUCUUUGCUUUCUCAUUUAAU